ACUUUGAUUAUGGCUCGGAACGAACGCUGGCGGCAGGCCUAACACAUGCAAGUCGAGCGCUCACUUCGGUGGGAGCGGCGGACGGGUUAGUAACGCGUGGGAACGUGCCCAGAUCUAAGGAAUAGCCACUGGAAACGGUGAGUAAUACCUUAUACGCCCUUCGGGGGAAAGAUUUAUCGGAUUUGGAUCGGCCCGCGUUAGAUUAGAUAGUUGGUGGGGUAAUGGCCUACCAAGUCUACGAUCUAUAGCUGGUUUUAGAGGAUGAUCAGCAACACUGGGACUGAGACACGGCCCAGACUCCUACGGGAGGCAGCAGUGGGGAAUCUUGGACAAUGGGGGCAACCCUGAUCCAGCCAUGCCGCGUGAGUGAUGAAGGCCUUAGGGUCGUAAAGCUCUUUCGCCAGGGAUGAUAAUGACAGUACCUGGUAAAGAAACCCCGGCUAACUCCGUGCCAGCAGCCGCGGUA
rnacentral:rRNA from 1 species